ACAUGCAAGUAGAACGCUGAAGAGAGGAGCUUGCUCUUCUUGGAUGAGUUGCGAACGGGUGAGUAACGCGUAGGUAACCUGCCUUGUAGCGGGGGAUAACUAUUGGAAACGAUAGCUAAUACCGCAUAACAAUGGAUGACACAUGUCAUUUAUUUGAAAGGGGCAAUUGCUCCACUACAAGAUGGACCUGCGUUGUAUUAGCUAGUAGGUGAGGUAACGGCUCACCUAGGCGACGAUACAUAGCCGACCUGAGAGGGUGAUCGGCCACACUGGGACUGAGACACGGCCCAGACUCCUACGGGAGGCAGCAGUAGGGAAUCUUCGGCAAUGGGGGCAACCCUGACCGAGCAACGCCGCGUGAGUGAAGAAGGUUUUCGGAUCGUAAAGCUCUGUUGUAAGUCAAGAACGAGUGUGAGAGUGGAAAGUUCACACUGUGACGGUAGCUUACCAGAAAGGGACGGCUAACUACGUGCCAGCAGCCGCGGUAAUACGUAGGUCCCGAGCGUUGUCCGGAUUUAUUGGGCGUAAAGCGAGCGCAGGCGGUUUGAUAAGUCUGAAGUUAAAGGCUGUGGCUCAACCAUAGUUCGCUUUGGAAACUGUCAAACUUGAGUGCAGAAGGGGAGAGUGGAAUUCCAUGUGUAGCGGUGAAAUGCGUAGAUAUAUGGAGGAACACCGGUGGCGAAAGCGGCUCUCUGGUCUGUAACUGACGCUGAGGCUCGAAAGCGUGGGGAGCGAACAGGAUUAGAUACCCUGGUAGUCCACGCCGUA
rnacentral:rRNA from 1 species